CGGCUGUUUCUGUAAUAUUUCCAUCAGUUCCUCCAAUAGGAGGAUUGAACCAUUUUAGAACCAUAUCUACCAUCUUGUAUGUCAUUAGUCAUGACUAUUAUCUCUUUUUCUCACUCUCUCGCCAUCGUUGCACAGUUUAAUCAUUUUCUCUUUGGCACAACAAAAAAUGAAAAAAAGUGAUGGAACAACACUAAAAGAAAAAGAAAUAGCAUGGAACGAAAUUUGCAGCAAAUACAAUGAAUCUGCAUUAAUUUCUCAAGAGAGAACUUGUAAAUAGAGAGUGCAACAAUUGAAAAAACUAUGGACAAACAUCAAGCAGAGUCAGAGAGAGGCGAUUACAAAAGAAAGACAGGCACGUAUGGCAACUAGCGGUGGACCAGAAUAACCUGAGCAACCGUUGAUCCCGAUGUUGCUGUUAUUGUACCUCAUUUAAUGAAAACUGCACCAGUAUUAUUCACAUCUAAUAUGACUGAAAAGGAAAUUAAUGAUAUGUGAAAAAGUAACUUAUAAAUAAAUUCACACUUAUAGAGACAAAUGUGAUAUUAUACUUGACCUCCUACCUGUAAAUAAUAAUGUCCAAUUAUCCGAUUAUAAGGAUGAUGCAAUAAACAUAAUAAGUGAUAUAGGAACUACCAUGUCCAAAGAUAUAUCUACUAUUGAAGACAAUAUAGAACAAUAUAAUGAAAAAUCGAUAGUUCUUCAUGAACAAUGUGAUAAAGUUCAAGACAAUGUGGAAUUACAUCUCUCAAGCAAUGACAAAAACAGAACUUCACGUAUGAAAAGGAAAAAAAGAGAAAUAACGGAAUUAAAUGCAGAAGAAAAUAUACAAAUAAAACGGAUAAAACAAAUAAUGCAAUAGGAGGAGUCUUUAGCAUAUAUUAAAUUAAAAUACGAAGAAAGAAUGGCAUCUAUGAGGGAAGAACAUUUAACAGAAAUUAAUCAUCUGCAAAUAAAACAUUUAAAAGAACUACACGAAGAAGAAAUAAAAAUAAAAAGAACAAGACUCAGGAAUAUCGAAUUGCAGCUGUUACGUCCUAGAGGAGGAACGCAACCUUUUCGUUCGCGAGUAAG